rnacentral:rRNA from 1 species
UACGUAGGGUGCAAGCGUUGUCCGGAAUUAUUGGGCGUAAAGCGCGCGCAGGUGGUGCGGUAAGUCUGCCGUGAAAUCUCCCGGCUCAACUGGGAGGGGGCGGUGGAGACUGCCGGACUAGAGGGACUCAGAGGCCGGUGGAAUUCCCGGUGUAGUGGUGAAAUGCGUAGAGAUCGGGAGGAACACCAGUGGCGAAGGCGGCCGGCUGGGGGUGCCCUGACGCUGAGGCGCGAAAGCGUGGGGAGCGAACCGGG